UGCUACCUGACCUAGCGGCGGACGGGUGAGUAAUGCUUAGGAAUCUGCCUAUUAGUGGGGGACAACAUCUCGAAAGGGAUGCUAAUACCGCAUACGUCCUACGGGAGAAAGCAGGGGACCUUCGGGCCUUGCGCUAAUAGAUGAGCCUAAGUCGGAUUAGCUAGUUGGUGGGGUAAAGGCCUACCAAGGCGACGAUCUGUAGCGGGUCUGAGAGGAUGAUCCGCCACACUGGGACUGAGACACGGCCCAGACUCCUACGGGAGGCAGCAGUGGGGAAUAUUGGACAAUGGGGGGAACCCUGAUCCAGCCAUGCCGCGUGUGUGAAGAAGGCCUUUUGGUUGUAAAGCACUUUAAGCGAGGAGGAGGCUACCGAGAUUAAUACUCUUGGAUAGUGGACGUUACUCGCAGAAUAAGCACCGGCUAACUCUGUGCCAGCAGCCGCGGUAAUACAGAGGGUGCAAGCGUUAAUCGGAUUUACUGGGCGUAAAGCGCGCGUAGGUGGCCAAUUAAGUCAAAUGUGAAAUCCCCGAGCUUAACUUGGGAAUUGCAUUCGAUACUGGUUGGCUAGAGUAUGGGAGAGGAUGGUAGAAUUCCUGGUUGAGC
rnacentral:rRNA from 1 species